UACCCCCGUCACCGGACUAGACGCAGCCAUUUCCGUCUCCGUCCCCUAACCGUGUGUCUGUGCGUGUGUAUUCAUCGUGGUCGGCCAUUUUCUCUCAAAUCGUUGUUGUCUGCUUCAUACGUGCUUCUUAUAAGUUCUAAUUGUUGUGUUCAAGUAUUCAACGUAUUUCCAUUCUUUUGUAUUGUGUCUGUUGAUUCCAAGCUAUACGUGAUGGCACAGAUAAAAGACGAGAAACUUGACACGUCGAUAAACAACGGACCGAACACACACCACGGUCCGAAUAUCAAUCAAAAGCCAAAAGAAGAAUUCCAUGGUGGCCGCGGUGGAAGAGGCAACCGUUUUCAACCGUAUGGUGGCCCCAACAGAGACCGCAAAGGAGGACCGAGGGACAAUAACAUGCCUAGAGGAGAUUUCCGCAAUGAUAGUAAUCAGGGUGAUCAUCAAGGAGAUAGUGAAAUUAUGAAUAGAGGUGGGCGCAAUCACAAUGAUAGUGGAAGAGGCGGUAGACGUGGUGGAGGUGUUGGUGGAGGAGGUUUUAGAGGUGGUCCGCCUAAUCGUGUUGAUGACCGCAUAACUAGAGCUGAUGCUGUUUGGAAUGAACGUUUGAUGCAAAUAAUGGGACCCACUCACGAACUUCCUCAAACCGAUAAUACUGAAAGAAAAUUCCUUAGUCAAUGCCGUCUUUAUAUUGGAAAUUUAGUAGAUUGCACUGAAGAAGAACUUAUUGAAAUGUUUAAACCAUAUGGAGAGGUUUCUGAAAAUUUUUUGAAUAAAGAAAAAAUGUUUGCUUUUAUCAGAUUGGAUUACCGUACUAAUGCUGAGAAAGCUAAACGAGAAUUAGAUGGACAAAUGCGUAAAGGGCGUAUGUUAAAAAUUCGAUUUGCUCCCAUUGCUGCUGCUAUUAAAGUCAAAAAUCUUACUCCAUUUGUGUCUAAUGAGCUUUUAGAAUAUGCUUUUUCAAUAUUUGGAGAUAUUGAACGUUGUCAAGUUAUGGUAGAUGAAAGAGGUAAUUCAACUGGUGAAGGAAUUAUUGAAUUUUCUCGUAAAAAUGCUGCAAGUAAUGCAUUGAAACGGUGUUCAGAAGGUUGUUUCUUUUUGACUAGUUCCCUUCGUCCUUGUGUAGUUGAGACUUACGAGUUUGUAGAUAGUUCUGAUGGUCUCCCAGAUAAAUUGUUGCCCAAAAAAACGAUGGAUUUCCAGAAGCAAAGAGAAGUUGGUCCAAGAUUUGCCAAUCCAAACUCUUUUGAACAUGAAUUUGGUACACGUUGGAAACAAUUAGCUGAAUUGUACAAACAAAAGGAAGAAGCAUUAAAACGUGAAAUGAAACUGGAAGAAGAAAAAUUGGAAGCACAGAUGGAAUAUGCUCGUUAUGAGCAUGAGACUGAAAUGCUCCGAGAACAAUUGCGCCAACGAGAAAUGGAUAGAGAACGACAAAAGAUGGAGUGGGAAAUGAAAGAACGACAAGCAGAAGAACAAAGGCUUAGAGAAGAAGAUAUUUUCAGAAGACAAAGUGAAGAUCUAAGCAUGAGAAUGCACCAUCAGGAUGAAGAAAUGAGAAGGCGCCAACAAGAUAACUCGUCAUUCAUGCAGGACCAUAGAGGAGGACCACCAGGUAAACCUCAAUUUGAUGGACCUCCUAUGCCCGUUGAAGGGAUGACUGUUCGUGAACUUGAAGCAAUAACUGCACAAGGAGGAAUGGCUCGACUGUGUAUGGCAUUCGGUUGACCGCGUCGUUACUCCGAAGAGACUCGAAUCCAAGACAUGAGUAAACUGUCUAAGAAGAAAUUGUGUCAUAUUUGUUGAGCAACGCUGUCAGUUACGCGGUGCAUGUUUCUAGCAGCAGUAAGCGUUCCAACCAUGGACCAUUCGUUGAGAAGAAAAAUGCUGAUAUGAA
rnacentral:misc_RNA from 1 species